GCCUGAAGCAAACUCUGACUUGCAUCUACUGAUGCAUCUCAAGCAAGACCUAAGAAGUUAUCCUCCCAUUUUACUCUGCCUUGGUGAGACCACAGCUGGAGUACUGCAUCCAAUUCCGGACUCCACACUUUAGAAAGGAUGUGGAGAAG